rnacentral:rRNA from 1 species
AACGAACGCUGGCGGCAUGCCUAACACAUGCAAGUCGAACGAGACAUUCGGGUUUAGUGGCGCAUGGGUGGGUAACGGGUGGGAACAUGCCUAGAGGUUCGGAAUAACGCCCGGGAUGGGGUGCGAAUACGGGCGAAUGUAUUGGGACCAAAGAUUUAUCGCCUUUGGAUGGGCGUGAGAUGGCUUAGCUAGUUGGUAGGGUAAAAGGCUACCAAGGCGACGUUCCAUAGCUGGUUUGAGAGGAUGGUCAGCCACACUGGGACUGGGACACGGUCAAGAAUACUGCGGGAUGCAGCAGUGGGGAAUAUUGGACAGUGGGCGAAAUCCUGAUCCACCUAUGCCGCGUGAGUGAUGAAGGCCUUAGGGUUGUAAAGCUCUUUUACCCGGGAUGAUAAUGACAGUACCGGGAGAAUAAGCUCCGGCUAACUCCGUG